rnacentral:rRNA from 1 species
AUCGGAACGUACCUUUCAGUGGGGGAUAACGUAGCGAAAGUUACGCUAAUACCGCAUAUUCUGUGAGCAGGAAAGCAGGGGAUCGCAAGACCUUGCGCUGAUUGAGCGGCCGAUAUCAGAUUAGCUAGUUGGUGAGGUAAAGGCUCACCAAGGCGACGAUCUGUAGCGGGUCUGAGAGGAUGAUCCGCCACACUGGAACUGAGACACGGUCCAGACUCCUACGGGAGGCAGCAGUGGGGAAUUUUGGACAAUGGGCGCAAGCCUGAUCCAGCCAUGCCGCGUGAGUGAAGAAGGCCUUCGGGUUGUAAAGCUCUUUCGGCCGGGAAGAAAUCGCAUGGGCUAAUACCCUGUGCGGAUGACGGUACCGGCAUAAGAAGCACCGGCUAACUACGUGCCAGCAGCCGCGGUAAUACGUAGGGUGCGAGCGUUAAUCGGAAUUACUGGGCGUAAAGCGUGCGCAGGCGGUUUUUAAAGACAGGCGUAAAACCCCCGGGUUAAACCGGGGAAUGGCGCUUUGGAUGGCAAAGUUAGAUUACGGCAGGGGGGGUGGGAAUCCCAGUGUAACCAUKAAAWGCGUUAGAGUGUGGGAGGAACACAAUGGGCAAAGGCACCCCCUGGGUCSGUACUGGAGCUCMAGCCMCAAAACGUGGGUAACAAAACAGRUUUAGUACCCUGGUAGUCCCMGCCCUAAAACRUGUCAAAUAGGUGUUGGGUGGGUAAAACCAUUUAGUACCGGAGCUAACGCGUGAAGUUGACCGCCUGGGGAGUACGGCCGCAAGGUUAAAACUCAAAGGAAUUGACGGGGACCCGCACAAGCGGUGGAUGAUGUGGAUUAAUUCGAUGCAACGCGAAAAACCUUACCUACCCUUGACAUGUCCAGAAGCCCGAAGAGAUUUGGGUGUGCCCGAAAGGGAGCUGGAACACAGGUGCUGCAUGGCUGUCGUCAGCUCGUGUCGUGAGAUGUUGGGUUAAGUCCCGCAACGAGCGCAACCCUUGUCGUUAAUUGCCAUCAUUUAGUUGGGCACUUUAACGAGACUGCCGGUGACAAACCGGAGGAAGGUGGGGAUGACGUCAAGUCCUCAUGGCCCUUAUGGGUAGGGCUUCACACGUCAUACAAUGGUCGGUACAGAGGGUUGCCAAGCCGCGAGGUGGAGCCAAUCCCAGAAAGCCGAUCGUAGUCCGGAUUGCAGGCUGCAACUCGCCUGCAUGAAGUCGG